UAAAAAAAGCAUUAAACGGAUACCUUGACAAAAGAUUCUAUUGGAUGUUGUACAACAAAAAUUUUAGCUGAGCUGUAAUGCUGGGACGCUGAAAUGUCCAAUAAAAGAAAUUUUUCUCUUGGAAGUUUUCAGAAAAGUGAAUUGAAACAUCUUAGUAACUUUUUAAGAAAUCAAACGAGAUACUGAAAGUAGUGGCGAACGAACUCAGUACAGGCAAAAAACAUAGAUAAAACACCAAUUGAACCUCGAGACCAGAGAAGGUUUAAGUCCUGUAGAUCGGCAAAAACUGUGUUUUUAAGUAAAAGAGGUUGUACUCUUUGAACAAUGGGGGACCACCCUCAAAGCCUAAAUUUUGGUCUUUUGAUCGAUAGUGAACGAGUACUGUGAAGGAAAGGACAUACAUCCUAGGAUGUUUUGAAAUUUAAUGCUAGCAAUCGGUUGGAGCUUUAUAAAGUGACAGCGUACCUUUUGCAUAAUGGGUCAGCGAGUUUUUAAAAAAGGCAAGCUU
rnacentral:rRNA from 1 species